UCUUCCCUCUGGCGGCGUGCCUAAUACAUGCAAGUCGAGCGAACAGACGAGGAGCUUACUCCUCUGACGUUAGCGGCGGACGGGUGAGUAACACGUGGAUAACCUACCUAUAAGACUGGGAUAACUUCGGGAAACCGGAGCUAAUACCGGAUAACAUGUUGAACCGCAUGGUUCAACAGUGAAAGACGGUCUUGCUGUCACUUAUAGAUGGAUCCGCGUCGCAUUAGCUAGUUGGUAAGGUAACGGCUUACCAAGGCAACGAUGCGUAGCCGACCUGAGAGGGUGAUCGGCCACACUGGAACUGAGACACGGUCCAGACUCCUACGGGAGGCAGCAGUAGGGAAUCUUCCGCAAUGGGCGAAAGCCUGACGGAGCAACGCCGCGUGAGUGAAGAAGGUCUUCGGAUCGUAAAACUCUGUUAUUAGGGAAGAACAAAUGUGUAAGUAACUAUGCACGUCUUGACGGUACCUAAUCAGAAAGCCACGGCUAACUACGUG
rnacentral:rRNA from 1 species